AUUGAACGCUGGCGGCAUGCCUUACACAUGCAAGUCGAACGGCAGCACGGGAGCAAUCCUGGUGGCGAGUGGCGAACGGGUGAGUAAAGUAUCGGAACGUGCCCAGCCGUGGGGGAUAACGUAGCGAAAGUUACGCUAAUACCGCAUACGAUCUAUGGAUGAAAGCGGGGGAUCGCAAGACCUCGCGCGAUUGGAGCGGCCGAUAUCAGAUUAGGUAGUUGGUGGGGUAAAGGCUCACCAAGCCGACGAUCUGUAGCUGGUCUGAGAGGACGACCAGCCACACUGGGACUGAGACACGGCCCAGACUCCUCCGGGAGGCAGCAGUGGGGAAUUUUGGACAAUGGGCGAAAGCCUGAUCCAGCCAUGCCGCGUGCAGGAUGAAGGCCUUCGGGUUGUAAACUGCUUUUGUACGGAACGAAAAGGUUUGGCCUAAUAAGCUGAGCUCAUGACGGUACCGUAAGAAUAAGCACCGGCUAACUACGUGCCAGCAGCCGCCGUAA
rnacentral:rRNA from 1 species